GGUGUCGGCCAUAGGGGUGCGGGAACCACGCGAUCCCGUUCCGAACUCGCCAGUGAAACCGCACCCCGUUCCCGGUGGUACUGUGGUGCGGGAGCCCACGGGAAGCCGGGAAGCCGAUGCCA
rnacentral:rRNA from 1 species